GUUCGGCAGAGAAAAGCUGAUCCGUCUCGAUGGCCAGCUCGGGAUAGUCAUAUGGCAGCCCACUAGGUUGACCGAGCUGAGAAUGAAUGGGCCUGGUGGGCCGCGCCGUCCGAACUUAUCGGAACUAGUUAGCGGAGCCCUAGAAGGAGUCCCGCUAUGGAAGACUCCUUGUCCUGCUAGGAAACUACUACCUCCGACUCUAUAAAUACAACGCAUUGCGAAGAUGCU
rnacentral:lncRNA from 1 species